AACUUUUAGCAAUGGAUCUCUUGGCUCUCGCAUCGAUGAAGAACGCAGCGAAAUGCGAUAAGGAAUGUGAAUUGCAGAAUUCAUUGAAUCAUCGAAUCUUUGAACGCACCUUGCGCUCCUUGGUAUUCCGAUGAGCAUGCCUGUUUGAGUGUCAUGAAAUCUUCAACCUAUAAGCUUUUGUGGUUUGUAGGCUUGGACUUGGAGGCUUGUCGGCCUUGAUCGGUCGGCUCCUCUUAAAUGCAUUAGCUUGAUUCCUUGCGGAUCGGCUCUCGGUGUGAUAAUAUCUACGCCGCGACCGUGAAGCGUUUGGCGAGCUUCUAACCGUCUCACUUGAGAGACAACUUUCUGACCUCUGACCUCAAAUCAGGUAGGACUACCCGCUGAACUUAAGCAUAUCAAUCAGCGGAGGCU
rnacentral:misc_RNA from 1 species